rnacentral:rRNA from 1 species
GACGAACGCUGGCGGCGUGCUUAACACAUGCAAGUCGAACGGAAAGGCCCUGCUUUUGUGUGGUUCUCGAGUGGCGAACGGGUGAGUAACACGUGAGUAACCUGCCCUUGACUUUGGGAUAACUUCAGGAAACUGGGGCUAAUACCGGAUAGGAUCUCCUGCUGCAUGGUGUUGGUUGGAAAGUUUCGGCGGUUGGGGAUGGACUCGCGGCUUAUCAGCUUGUUGGUGGGGUAGUGGCUUACCAAGGCUUUGACGGGUAGCCGGCCUGAGAGGGUGACCGGGCACAUUGGGACUGAGAUACGGCCCAGACUCCUACGGGAGGCAGCAGUGGGGAAUAUUGCACAAUGGGCGGAAGCCUGAUGCAGCAACGCCGCGUGCGGGAUGACGGCCUUCGGGUUGUAAACCGAUUUCGCCUGUGACGAAGAGUGCGUGACGGUAAUGGGUAAAGAAGCACCGGCUAACUACGUG